UACGAAGGGGGCUAGUGUUGCUCGGAAUUACUGGGCGUAAAGGGCGCGUAGGCGGACAUUUAAGUCAGGGGUGAAAUCCCAGAGCUCAACUCUGGAACUGCCUUUGAUACUGGGUGUCUUGAGUGUGAGAGAGGUAUGUGGAACUCCGAGUGUAGAGGUGAAAUUCGUAGAUAUUCGGAAGAACACCAGUGGCGAAGGCGACAUACUGGCGCAUUACUGACGCUGAGGCGCGAAAGCGUGGGGAGCAAACAGG
rnacentral:rRNA from 1 species